CAGUAUAAUCAGUAUUCAGUCAGUAUAAUUGGUAUUCAGUCAGUAUAAUCAGUAUUCAGUCAGUAUAAUUGGUAUUCAGUCAAGUAUAAUUCAGUAUUCAGUCAGUAUAAUCAGUAUUCAGUCAGUAUAAUCGGUAUUCAGUCAGUAUAAUCGGUAUUCAGUCAGUAUAAUCGGUAUUCAGUCAGUAUAAUUCAGUAUUCAGUCAGUAUAAUUCAGUAUUCAGUCAGUAUAAUUCAGUAUUCAGUCAGUAUAAUCAGUAUUCAGACAGUAUAAUUCAGUAUUCAGUCCAGUAUAAUUCAGUAUUCAGUCAGUAUAAUCGGUAUUCACAGUAUAAUCAGUAAUCAGUCAGUAUAAUCUGUAUUCAAUCAAUAUAAUUCAGUAUUCAGUCAGUAUAAAUCAGUAUUCAGUCAAUAUAAUUCAGUAUUCAGUCAGUAUAAUCAGUAUUCAGUCAAUAUAAUUCAGUAUUCAGUCAGUAUAAU
ensembl:lncRNA